rnacentral:rRNA from 1 species
AUACGUAGGUGACAAGCGUUAUCCGGAUUUACUGGGCGUAAAGGGCGUGUAGGCGGUCUUGCAAGUCAGAAGUGAAAUUCCUGAGCUCAACUCGGGCGCUGCUUCUGAAACUGCAGGACUUGAGUGCUGGAGGGGAUAGCGGAAUUCCUAGUGGAGCGGUAAAAUGCGCAGAUAUUAGGAAGAACACCGGUGGCGAAGGCGGCUAUCUGGACAGUAACUGACGCUGAGGCGCGAAAGCGUGGGGAGCAAACAGGAUUAGAUACCCUGGUAGUCCACGCUGUAAACGAUGAAUACUAGGUGUAGGGGGUACCGACUCCCUCUGUGCCGCAGUUAACACAAUAAGUAUUCCGCCUGGGGAGUACGGCCGCAAGGUUGAAACUCAAAUGAAUUGACGGGG